UAUUGAUACCAUGAUUCAAAAUGCCACAAAGCUUUUAACUUAAACUUAUAAAUCAUAAGAUGAGAGCAGAUAAUGCAUGGUUUAUUCAGAUACUUAACAAAUUAGACCAUAUUUGGUCAACAAUCAACUAACCCGAGUCAUGAUACGCUCAAUUAUUAUUAUUAUUAUUUUCUUAGCAUACCCAAAAAUAGCAAAUUCUAUCCAAGAGAUAACAUAAUCAUAUCAUGAUUGACCUGAGAAUCAAUAGUAUACACCUUCCCUUAUUAACAAAAUCUUUCAUUAUUGAACAACAUAGUCUUUCAUAAUAACAUGUUACCAAAACAUAGUCAAUAUUUUUGACCAGUUUAAAUUGAC
rnacentral:lncRNA from 1 species